UCAUGUUUAAAAUAUUAUAUUUAAUAAAUUAAUCAUAUUAUAUGCACAUUUUAUUAUCAUAUUACAAAAAUUAUUUUACCAAUACUCUAUGCAACAUAUAGUGUUGGCUAUUGCAACAUCAAAUGGACAUGAAUGGCUAUCGUUGCGAUAGGUAUGGAUUAGUGCCUCUAAUGCAACAUAAUUUUGCAACACUCGUGUUUGCACCAUUGCGAUAGGCCAUAUAUGGCGUAGUGAAAGGGAGAAAAAAAAGAAAAGAAAAGAAGAAAAUCAAAGAAAGUUGGCAAGCAAGGGGGCACAUGGAUGGCUAUGAUUUACCCAACACACAUCACACAUGGAUGGAUUAGAUGUAGCCACCCUACCCCUAAACCCUACAUUUCUAGCUAUAAAUACCCCCACCCCCUUUACUUGUAAUCAUCUUUUUAAACCUAGGAUUUUCUUCUUUUAGUAGCCUCCUUUCUCUAGUCUAGAUCUAGUUUUAAUUUGUAUGCUCUCUCCUCCUUUUGUAAACACAUUUUAAUAUUUUAAUGCAAAAUUUCAUAUUUGUUCUUACAUUCUUGUUCUUUAUGUUUCCUUUGGCUAUGAAAUCUUCCUCUAACUACAAUGUUCAAAGUUGUUUGUAGAUUGGAAGGAGCCACUUAUUAGUUGUAGCUCUCUUUACAUUUAGAUUUAAUUUUUGGUAGAAACUUAAGUCCUAGCACAAAAUUAAUUUGUGUUAGAGUCUUAACUUUCCAGAUUUCAAGUUAUCAGUUCGGCAGUUUAUUCUUAAUUCGGCAGCUUCAUUUUUAUUAGUAAACUAUCAACACUCGUUUUCUUUAAACCCACUUACAUCAAAGUUUCGUAGAUUUUGUUUUAUUUUAUAAAAAACCUCACCUGCAGCACAUGUGUUGUUUUUCUUUAAAACCCCAUUCCCCACUCCCCUGUUUUCCAUUCGUUUAGUUCAAACCCAUUCCGUUUUUCCCCUAUUUGAUUUUCGUUCAAAAUACCACUGUUUAUCUUUACUUGGCUUUCCGUUUACUGCGUUUUGUGACUUUCUCUUUUCCGUUUCAUUAUCGCGUUGUUCUGAGUUUAGCCGAGUCCAGUACCAUGUUCAUGCCCUGUACCGAGUUUGUAAUGAGUUGUGUAGUUUGUUGUUCUUGAAUGUUUGUUCCUUGCCGAGUUCUGGGUUUGUGCUUUGUUUAUGAUUCUGAGUCCGCUAUCGAGUCCUGUAGUUUAAUCCGCUGUUUAAGUCGAUUUUCUUUGCUGCAUUUCCGAGUUCUGUUUCGAGUCGUAUCUGGGUUUGAAAUCGUGCGAGUUCAUGCUCUGUCUUGCUGGGUUCUUCAGUUUUUAGUUCUGUUUUUGAAAGAUGAAUGUUCUGAGUUGCCGAGUUUCUGUUUUCGUUCUUGAGCUUCCGUCGAGAUCCUGUUUUUAGCUCAUUUGUCUUUUAGUUUGUUUUAUUAAUCUUAAGUGUAAAGUCUGGUGGUUUUGUUUUGGAGUGUUGGUUUGUAGGCUGAGUCUUGUUCUUUGGUUUUGAUGUCAAGUUUUAGUCGAGAUUAACCCGAGCUUUGCUGGGAUUUCAUCGAGUAUACUAGUUAGAGUGUGCGUUAAUGAUUUUUGGUUGAAGCCAAUGCUAGCCUAGUUGUUAGUUAAAAUUUACGCUGGAGUUUGUGGUUAUAGCUUCUGUGCUUAUUGUUAAAUUCUGCCAUUUUAAAUAGUUUUGUGUAUGGCCAAGUCGAGUUGUCAUUAGCUGUGAUUCAUGGUGCUGUUUUGUGCUAAUUUGAUUUCAAUUGUCUAGUAUUCCUCGUAAAUUAGAUAAAUCAAUUAAUUAGUUUCUUUUCAAUUGUUUUCAUAAAAUAAUUGGAUUAACGAUUUAGCUGAUAAUUAAUUAGGUUAAUCAAUUUUCCUCUUAGACUUGAUAAUUUUAGAUUUAAUUUAGAUAAAACCCCUUCUCACUCACUAAUUGUUCUAUUCCGCCUAGGUUUUAAGUAAAGAUUUGCGAAAAUUAUUUUAAUCUCUGUGGACGAAUCAUAAAUAUUAAAACGGUGAUCGUGCGCUUGCGAUCUGAAAGUAUCAUUUUCUAGCACAUCAUCGGCGGACGCCGCUGGAAUUAUUUUGCUGAGGAUUUUUUCCCCACGGUAUGUUUCUAGCCUGCUAAGGAAAUUUUUUCCAAGGUAUGCUUCUCGCCUGAUUUGGCGAUUUGAUUAUUGUAAAGUAACUAAGCCGUGUCUAUAUGAAUGGAGCUUUAUAUGUGUUGGCAGCUAUCACCUGUUCGACAAAUUGCCUAAGAAAAGAGAUCUUGCACCGCAAAAAUGUUUCUGAGGAGAUGCUAUUCAACGUUUUCUUCUCGUCCAUUGCGCGACUGCGUCGUUGCAAGCGGCCCUGCUGGUUUUUACACUGCCAAAAAGGUACCAUUUUAAUAUUUAUGGGUUAUGAGCAAUGCGAAAUUAAAAUAAUCGCAAAUUUGACUACUCAAAGCUGGCUUAUCACUAUCAACAUGUACCAGGCAUCUGAUACUUCAUUCUAAACUCUUAAAGGCAGAAACUGGUGAAGCUAUUGCCAGGUAGACUGUUGCAUGUGUGUUUUUGGGAUAUCCAUGGAAGUUGGAAAAUUAAAACAAGUGAACCUGAAGAUAAUUUGCUUCUGGAAGAGCCAGAGCCCGGCAACAGAGAUGAAACAAGAGAAAAAAAAGAGGCUGAAGAACAGAAGCAAGAAGCACAUGAAUGUAAUUCAGCAAACAAAAACAAUGUCAAAGAGGCUUUGCAACACAAGUAAGAAAAGGAUGGAGCUGUCUAACAGGCCAAUGUGGCAUUAUAUACUUUCCUUUUCCUUUGGCUUCUAACAAGGUGGUUGCGCAUAUAAUUUGCCUUAGAAUACAAUCAAUGUGAAUGGUUUUCUUCAACUUUCUUUCAUGCACACUAUAACCAGAUUCGUUCCAAGCUUGAAGUAGGCUUCUAAAUGUUACAAGUUGCCUAAUUACGUUAUUAACUGAUGUAAGCUCCACCUCCUUAAUCAAGAUCAUCACUUGAAAGGGACAAAGCUGUUAAUUUUAUUUUUUUAGUAAAUGCUGAAGGUUAGAAUUUUAACAAAA